CUUUACAAUUACACAACAAAAACUAUGUAUCUAUUACUCACAGAAAUUCAAACAAUCUUUAUAAAAUCUUCCAUUAGCCCCUCUAGAAGUAAGUGGAUGAGGUUGAUUGGCAGCGCUAAGACCCUCCUCUUGGUUCUGAUUGGUUGUUUUUGGUCAGAACGGUGCAUUUCUUUAGCCAGCAGUAGCAGCUCAGGAAGGAGAUGGAGAAGAUUGAUCUUUAUUACAGAUUAUCUUUACAUUACAAAUGAG